GACGAACGCUGGCGGCGUGCCUAAUACAUGCAAGUCGAGCGAAGUUUUUCUGGUGCUUGCACUAGAAAAACUUAGCGGCGAACGGGUGAGUAACACGUAAAGAACCUGCCUCAUAGACUGGGACAACUAUUGGAAACGAUAGCUAAUACCGGAUAACAGUAUUUCUCGCAUGAGAGAUAUUUAAAAGUUGGUUAUGCUAACACUAUGAGAUGGCUUUGCGGUGCAUUAGCUAGUUGGUGGGGUAAAGGCCCACCAAGGCGACGAUGCAUAGCCGACCUGAGAGGGUGAUCGGCCACACUGGGACUGAGACACGGCCCAGACUCCUACGGGAGGCAGCAGUAGGGAAUCUUCCGCAAUGGGCGAAAGCCUGACGGAGCAACGCCGCGUGAGUGAAGAAGGAUUUCGGUUCGUAAAGCUCUGUGUUAGGGAAGAAUGGAUAUGUAG
rnacentral:rRNA from 1 species